rfam:TPA: Bos taurus chromosome 5, whole genome shotgun sequence.
UCCUUGGCAGUCUGGUGGUUAGGACUCUGCACUUUCACUGGGGGGAAUCUGGGUUCGAACCCUGGUCAGGGAA